AGCAGUGAGCAAGCCCUCGCCCAGGGGAGAGUUUUUGUUCCAAAACUGAGUUGCCAAAUAUCCCAAGCCUCAGUUCAGCCUUGUUUACUUCUGCUCGUGCAGCAGCUGAGCUUCACUCAGCAUUCAUGCAGCCUGGGGGGUAGUGAGAUUCAGACAUUAGUUCUGCCUGCCUGGAAGAGCCCCUGGGGAUCGCUGUGUCCUUCCAUAAUUAGGUGUUUUCUCUAUUUCUUCAUCUGCAAGCAUUCUGAUUUCCACAAGAUCCAUAUUGUCCCUGUAAUUGUACUUCAUCUCAGUGAGUUUCCACCCCACCAGUGCCCGGAUGCCGUCGGCAGUCUGCAGGCUGCAGAUAGACUUGGUCACGAAGAGCGAGUCGGGUGCUGUCUGCAGCUGGGCAUUGCAGCCUCUGAACUCUUCAAUGUCUCGUGGCUGAAGGGUAAAGAGGUAAAUCCGACGGCAAACUUCAUCUUCCACGUUGUGGGAAGUGGAGGCACCUUGGUUGGGAACCCACUGCUUCCUUUUCACCUUCUCGAGGUACCAGGUCCCGCUCUCCUCCAGGAAGCGAAAGACCCCGGGAGUCUGCGGUUGAUCUGUCCCUGAAAUCAGCUCCAUUGGCUGCCACAGCUGGUAGGCCAUCCCAAACCCCCCAUCCACGAUGUAGGAUUUGCCAUCAAGCACCACUUUUAGCAGCAGAUGAUCCAUUUCCUCUGGGUAGGCGUCGUGCUCCGGGACAUAAACUUUUGCUCCCAGAAGGGUGACGUCAUAGCCAAGAGUUUUCAGGACCCAAGACAAAAGGUAGUUGUUUUCCAUGCACCAGCCCCCACGUUUCUUCCUUACUAUCUUGUUGUAGGUCGCUUCCAGGUCCAGCUCAAUCGUUUCCCCACAGUGGAUGCUGAGGUUUUCAAAAGGGACAGCUUGGAUGUGGUGCUGGAAUAUAUCUGACAUAGUACCCAGGUCUGGCUUAUUGUGGGAGCCCCGGUAUCACCUGUGGAUGCCAUGGUGGCGAAGAUGUUUUUGGCAAAGUGAUGGCUAUGAAGUGUCAGCACACAGGGAGAUCCAUCCUUUCACCAUGUUUCAUGUUGCUUUUGUAUCCAUCAAUUUUGCUUGCAUUUUGCCAAGAGAAGUCUUUUUCAUUCUCUGACAUACACAGCUGGAUUUUUUCCUGUUAGUUCUCCAAAAGUAAUGCCAGUCCUUCACAUUUAGUAUCAAUGGCAAGUUCCAUUCAAACACUGAUUUAUUGGGAUAAUUAGCAGAGAUAAUAAAUCAGAUGAAGCAGACACAAUAAAUCAGAUGAAACGGAGAUAUCUGUGGUAACCCAUUACACAGAUCCACUCCCAUAUCAUAAAUUGGCUCUUUAUCAUCCCAUCAGUGGCCAGUGUUUGACCCCACAAGCGAGAACUGAUGCCCAAGCCAAGAGGCACUGAGAGGAAUGGAUAACCUGCCCUUGUCAGGCUCCUCUGGGCAGGUGCUGUACAUGGAGUAAUCUCAUCCCACAAUCUAGGAGCCCCUCGUUUUGACAGAGAGAAGCCCAAAGCUGAGCAGCCAGACCCCAGUGCUGGUGGGAACCGCACAGAAAGAAGCCCUUAGACCCGUCACUGUGUGGUGUGUGAGCAGACCUGGCUGUGCUCCUUCCAGAGUCAUUCGGGACCACAGAUGGUGCCAAAAGUGGACACGUUCUGUGCUCCCUCAGCACUGUGCCAGCUGGGUUGUGGAGAACAUGACCACAGAGAGAAUGUGGAAAUGGGAAUGUCCUUGGAAAGGACGUUGCUGUCCACCUGGACACUGAGAUGCCAUUUCCCGUGGCAGGAGCUGAAGCUGCCUGAGCUUUUUCUAGAAGAUCCUCAAUAUAUUAAAUAGCUGUGGCUACAUAUCCUUCUGGGUUUGUAUCUGCAACAUCCACCACGUGAAGUUGGGUGGUGUCCAUCCCACUGGCCAAAGGAUGAGUCUGCAACUACAGCAGCAUCUUUUGCUCAUGGAACUACAGAGGGGAGCAGCUGUGCUGGACAUUUCUUGGCUUUUUCUCAGUGGUGAAGAGACCAAAUCUUGAUUUUAGCAUUUCCACUGUCUGAGGCAUCUUUCUGAGGUCUGGUGACUGUCAGAAGUUUUGUCCUCUGUUUAUUUUGCCCUGCCAAUAUGAGGUUUUUCACACAAGCCAAAUCUGAGGCUGUUAAUGCAGAGCAAAGAGCCCAUGUUGGUCUGCAGGUCCUUCCAUCCCUGAGGGUUUCAGCGUAAAUGUCUUACAUGUAAAUGGUCGUAAUUCAGCUAAAUUCCAUUACAAGGGGAACAAUCUGCUUUUCUGCAUGAAUGGCUUUAUUUCCUAUAAGUUUUGAAGGAAAAAUAGAACAUUUUAUGUAAGUGGUGAAAAGCAUCUGCCUGUUAGGAAGAAGUUGCUUCCAUUUCACAAGAAAUGAUCACACCCUCAACGUGCCCUUCCUGUUUCCAUCUCGUGGGCCUCUUCUCCUGGAAGAUGCCAGAGGUGUUGUCAAACCAUGAAAAUGCUGAGGAGAAAGUUCUGAAGGCUGGAAAGGAAAGUUGUGCUGGUUUCUCUGAACGUGUUGGUAGCUGGGUCUGUGAGAGCUGGCGAGCAGCUGGGGAGGCUCCAAGCCGUGAUAACAACGGCUUUACUGGCAUUUGGAGACAAAGUGUUGGAGAGCACUGAUGAGGAAGAUGAAGACAAGGAGAGCAAGGUGGUGUAAAUGCUCCCAUAAUUAACCAGUUAAUAAUUAAAUUCUCACUGGCUAAUGAAAGUAUGAGAGUGUAAUAUGUAAUGGGGCAUCAGCGUUGCUGGCUGGACCCUGAGACAGUUUCAUUUCACACAUCCCAAUGAGAACUGUCCAUCACGCUGUCAAAAGCCUACUCUGGAUAUUUUCCAAAGAGAAAAAUUUAGAAAUUUGGAAAAAUUUAAGGCUGAAGUGCUGUUACAGAGCUACAGCCGGGCAAAAUGGGCAUCCAUGGCAGAGCCUGCAAAUAAAGCAGAUGUUCUGUGCGGAAAUACUGUUUAAAACUCUUUAAUUUCACCACAUUUUCACCUUUAAUGUCCAGCACUCAUCAUGAU